rnacentral:rRNA from 1 species
AUGCACCUCUUUGGACUUCUAUUGAAUCGAGAAAUUGGAUUGUACAUCUUUUUGAUUUUGAUAUCGAUUUUGAUACAUAUAAGGUGUCCUACGGAUAAUGCAAAUCGAAGCUAUUUGAUGUCUGACUCAGGCCUAUAUGACCGAUCGAUCGAAAUACUCCAAGACUCCACCUUUGUCAUAUAUUCCAUAUAUCACAUUAUGCGGUGGAAGCUAUAUUUAGACAAGCAACCGUCAAAGUAA